UAUAAAUUAUUUCAGUUGUCCCAAUGAUCCAGUGGGAAGGUAUGUAAGUUUUCUUUGAAGUGACACAGGUUCGAUUCCGCGUCCUUGAGUUUCUGAG